UACGAAGGGGGCUAGCGUUGCUCGGAAUCACUGGGCGUAAAGCGCACGUAGGCGGCUUUCUAAGUCAGGGGUGAAAUCCUGGAGCUCAACUCCAGAACUGCCUUUGAUACUGGAGAGCUCGAGUCCGGAAGAGGUGAGUGGAACUCCGAGUGUAGAGGUGAAAUUCGUAGAUAUUCGGAAGAACACCAGUGGCGAAGGCGACUCACUGGCCCGAUACUGACGCUGAGGCGCGAAAGCGUGGGGAGCAAACAGG
rnacentral:rRNA from 1 species